rnacentral:rRNA from 1 species
ACAUGCAAGUCGAGCGGUAAGGCCUUUCGGGGUACACGAGCGGCGAACGGGUGAGUAACACGUGGGUGAUCUGCCCUGCACUCUGGGAUAAGCCUGGGAAACUGGGUCUAAUACCGGAUAUGACCACAGCUCGCAUGUUGUGUGGUGGAAAGAUUUAUCGGUGCAGGAUGGGCCCGCGGCCUAUCAGCUUGUUGGUGGGGUAAUGGCCUACCAAGGCGACGACGGGUAGCCGACCUGAGAGGGUGACCGGCCACACUGGGACUGAGACACGGCCCAGACUCCUACGGGAGGCAGCAGUGGGGAAUAUUGCACAAUGGGCGGAAGCCUGAUGCAGCGACGCCGCGUGAGGGAUGAAGGCCUUCGGGUUGUAAACCUCUUUCAGCAGGGACGAAGCGUGAGUGACGGUACCUGCAGAAGAAGCACCGGCUAACUACGUGCCAGCAGCCGCGGUAAUACGUAGGGUGCGAGCGUUGUCCGGAAUUACUGGGCGUAAAGAGUUCGUAGGCGGUUUGUCGCGUCGUUUGUGAAAACCCGGGGCUCAACUUCGGGCUUGCAGGCGAUACGGGCAGACUUGAGUGUUUCAGGGGAGACUGGAAUUCCUGGUGUAGCGGUGAAAUGCGCAGAUAUCAGGAGGAACACCGGUGGCGAAGGCGGGUCUCUGGGAAACAACUGACGCUGAGGAACGAAAGCGUGGGUAGCAAACAGGAUUAGAUACCCUGGUAGUCCACGCCGUAAACGGUGGGCGCUAGGUG